AUACGUAGGGGGCAAGCGUUAUCCGGAUUUACUGGGUGUAAAGGGAGCGUAGGCGGCAAGACAAGUCUGAUGUGAAAGCCCGGGGCUCAACCCCGGGACUGCAUUGGAAACUGUUUAGCUAGAGUGUCGGAGAGGUAAGUGGAAUUCCUAGUGUAGCGGUGAAAUGCGUAGAUAUUAGGAGGAACAUCAGUGGCGAAGGCGACUUACUGGACGAUAACUGACGCUGAGGCUCGAAAGCGUGGGGAGCAAACAGGAUUAGAUACCCUGGUAGUCCACGCUGUAAACGAUGAAUACUAGGUGUCGGGUGGCAAAGCCAUUCGGUGCCGCAGCUAACGCAUUAAGUUGACCGCCUGGGGAGUACGGCCGCAAGGUUAAA
rnacentral:rRNA from 1 species